rnacentral:rRNA from 1 species
AUUGAACGCUGGCGGCAUGCCUUACACAUGCAAGUCGAACGGCAGCAUGAUCUAGCUUGCUAGAUUGAUGGCGAGUGGCGAACGGGUGAGUAAUACAUCGGAACGUGCCCUGUAGUGGGGGAUAACUAGUCGAAAGAUUAGCUAAUACCGCAUACGACCUGAGGGUGAAAGUGGGGGACCGCAAGGCCUCAUGCUAUAGGAGCGGCCGAUGUCUGAUUAGCUAGUUGGUGGGGUAAAGGCUCACCAAGGCGACGAUCAGUAGCUGGUCUGAGAGGACGAUCAGCCACACUGGGACUGAGCCACGGCCCAGACUCCUACGGGAGGCAGCAGUGGGGAAUGUUGGACAAUGGGCGAAAGCCUGAUCCAGCAAUGCCGCGUGUGUGAAGAAGGCCUUCGGGUUGUAAAGCACUUUUGUCCGGAAAGAAAUGGCUCUGGUUAAUACCUGGGGUCGAUGACGGUACCGGAAGAAUAAGGACCGGCUAACUACGUG